UUGGGCUAAUGCAGAGAAGGACUCAUCUGCUGUAGCAAGAGCCAAUGCAGAGGAUCCGACCUCUCCCACCUCUCCUCUUGCUUGUGGAUGGCUAUCCUCCCACCGGAUCUGAACAUCCCUAGCUUGGAGGCUCAUGAUCUAGCCACCAAAUCCCGCCACCGCAGGAGGCCGCCCUAGCCACUGCCAUGAAGUGGAGCGGCUGCUUCGACCUUACCCCCGACAAGGCGCGAUGGUAGCGGCAAUAGCCAUGGAGCUCGAAAGGUGCCACCUCCACGCUGACGGAAGCGGCUUUCCCUUCCCAGUCAUUGGAGCGCAAUGGAGCUCAACAUGCUAAAAUCUCAGGUAUGCUUCAUCUACAAGCAAGAUUCCUUCAUCGCACUCCUUGGAAUUCUUCAUUCUUUCACUGAUGGCGCGUCAAGAUGGCCAAAGCCAAUAUGCAACCGUAUGUUUAGCUGUCCAAUAUUUAUCACCAUAGGUUGUGCAUGUUAGGUGUUUGAUAAAUUGCUUGAAUAGAUAUACUAGGCAAGGUUGGUGAUAGGGAUAUACCAAUUGCAAAAAAUCAAGAAUUUUGCCUCUUCGUAUAUAUAUGCAGUAAUGAAGGUUGCUACUUGAAAAUCCAAAGUACAUUCUUUGCUAAUUUUCUGUUAUUGAAGCUACCCAAUAGCCUAAUUAGAAAAAAAAAUGGAUAAUGACAUGUAUCUGCUAUCUGCUAUUCUGCUAUUCUGCAUUCCGGUAGUAUGUACAACAGUCAACAGAUACUAUCUGCAAAAAAGAUCCAUGGCCUUCUGAGGCAGAUAAGACUAAAGCCAAUGGCUUUCAAUUGAUAUUAUUUAGAAAUUUAUGUUUGGUUGAUGUAACUUAUGGUCUGAUGGAUUUAACUAGAUACAAAACUUAAAACUGAUGUCCCUCAAGUCAACUUCUCAGCUCAGAAUCUUUGCAUUUAUUUCUUAAUACUAAAUUCAUGGAUUAAGAGCAAAUCCAUCAAAAAAAUUCCAACAAUUCCUUAGGAGGGAUUGGCCGGUUAGGCUAGGCGGCUAGCAUUGUUUGAUGUGUAGAUCAGAGUGGCCCAUGUUAUGCCUUAUAAUUACCAUAACUUUGCACGAAUGACCUUAGGAGCAAGUCUUGAUGUGCAUAUUUUUUUGUUAUAACUUACAUGCUCUGUUCAUACAAUGAAUUAAAGCUUAACUUUUUCUAUGCAUCAAUUGAUUGAUUACUUAAUGUUCAAUUAAUGGAGUGCUACCAUCAUUUCAGAAUUGCAGAAUGGAUCGUUUAUAUAUCUUAUUUUCCUCUUUCCAAAAGACAAUAAUUAAGUUGUGAGGGUGACAUUGCUUUGAACAUAAUCCAUGGCAAAAUAUAUCUCAUACUGCAAAUGAUUUUAUAAGGAAAUGUCAUGGCAUUCUCAAAUUGGUUUUAAAGUUAGUUGCCCUCAUGCAUAGUUUGUUUCUCAAAUUAUUGAAGAGCCACAAACAUUUUGAUUUGUCGACUGAUUUAUAUGUUUAUACCAGGACGCCUUUGGGACUAUGCUCUGUCAUUUAUGAUUCAAGGUGAAACCGGGUGAUUCUCCGAGGACAAGAUUGCUGAUUUUAGUGAAAUAUUCAAGGCAAUAGAAUGCAAAAAUAUUCAAGGAAUGCCGAUCUCCCUCCCCACUCGUUUCCUCCACAAAUUGAAUGCAAAAAUAGGUUCCUAUCCUCCUCCUCAUCAAUUCCCCCACGUUUUGCCCUCUUAAUUCGUCCUUUAAUCAUCAAAUUUAGUCUCCAAUGAACUGCCGCCAUUGAUGGCAGCCCGGCGAACUCUCCGGCCGUUCUCCUCCUCUCCCCGGCCAUCCGCCUCCUCCACCCCGGCCUAUAAAAAGGAGUACCGACCCCCCCCUCUCUCCCCACACUGCAGCCCUCCCCCUCCUCUCUCCCUAGCUGCCGCGUUGCCUUCUUCUCGUGUCGUCGCUGCUGUGCAACUCCGGCCGCCCCUCGCCGACAGUUGGGACCUCCUCGGAGCCCAGCAUCGCCACCAUCCGCUUCGCAGCAACCUCCUCUUCCCCAGCCUCGCCUCCGUUUCUCCUGGAGACCGCCGGAAGCUCGUCCUCGCUGGUGAGCAGUGGUGACGUCGCCUUCAUCCUCGUCCUCCGGCAGCCCUCCCUCCUCGCUGGAGGAUUGCCUCACUGCGCUGUCAAUGCUGUUGGCGUCAUCUCGUUGUCUUCAUCAUCGGUCGUGCCUCCUCGCUGCCCAAAGACUCCCGUAGCGCCGCCCCGUUGCUAUUGCCUCCCUCCUGUCGUCGUUCCCGUCAAGACGAAGUGCCGCCUGUCGUCGGUGUCAAGUCCGCAGCGCCAAGCCCGUCGUUGUCCGCCUUUUCACCAAGCUCGAGGAUUGCUGGAGCCGUCCCCUCGUCGUUGACCCGUUCCUCUCUGUCGCCCUUCGUCGCCGCGCCAAGGUUUUCGCCGGUCGCCACCGUUGUUCCCUUGCCGCGUUGUGUCCAUGGUGAGAACCUCUUCCGUCGCUACCCUAUCCUCGUCCUCCCCGUGUGGUCGCCGCGUGGAUUGCCCACGUGUGCAGCUCACGUGGUAGUCCCGGCUGCCAAUCGCUCGAUCCUUUCUUUCUUCGAGCGAUAUUUCAUUGCACAUAAUUUAAUAGUAUAAUAAUAAUAAUAAUUAAACAACUCGAAAAUAUCCACUUUAAUUGCACUUAAAAUUCGGAUGGUCGUUUCUCGGCCAUACGAGCUCCUAAUUGACCCGUCGAAAUUGUUUAAUUUUUGUUAUAGCUUGAAGAACCCGUGUUUGUUAUUUUUAUAUGUUGUUAUCGUUUCUUUCUUAGAUUUGUAGCCCUGUUUUGUUGAUCGUGUAGCUGUCGUCAUUUCGGAAGUUUCUGAAGUGCAGAUCAAGUCAUCUAAAGACCUUCUCUUUGAGCAAGGCAAGUCAUGCCAUAUUCCUUGAACAUAGUGAAUCCCAUUAUUGCAAAAACUACGUUGUUUCACUUCU
rnacentral:lncRNA from 1 species